rnacentral:lncRNA from 1 species
UUCAAAAUUUUCACUAUCUUCAUCAUCUCUAUGUGUAGAGUGAGUGUAUUGUGAAGAGUAAUAUGGCAUCAAACUUCACUCAUAUCAGAGUCUUAAUUCGAAAGGAUUUCUAUGUUUUAAUUCGAAAGGAUUUCUAUGUUUUUACUUUUAAAUUCACUUAUAUCAGAGUCUUAAUUCGAAAGGAUUUCUAUGUUUUAAAAAAUGGGAACUAGAUCCCUUCGGGAUCCAAAGAAACUGAGCCCACUCAUCAAAUGAUCCGAGUCAUUGAAAUUUGAUCAAACGACUACAAACAAGGGGUCCUCU